GACGAACGCUGGCGGCGUGCCUAACACAUGCAAGUCGAGCGGAGAUGAUGUGAGGAAGUUUUCGGAUGGAAUCACAUUAUUUUAGCGGCGGACGGGUGAGUAACGCGUGAGCGACCAACCUUGCACAGGGGGAUAACGGACCGAAAGGUUCACUAAUACCGCAUGCGACCACGGUGUUGCAUGACCCAGAGGUCAAAGGAGCAAUCCGGUGCAAGACGGGCUCGCGUCCGAUUAGGUAGUUGGAGGGGUAACGGCCCACCAAGCCUAUGAUCGGUAGCCGACCUGAGAGGGUGAUCGGCCACAUUGGAACUGAGAUACGGGCCAAACUCCUACGGGAGGCAGCAGUGGGGAAUAUUGGGCAAUGGGGGAAACCCUGACCCAGCAACGCCGCGUGAAGGAAGAAGGUUUUCGGAUUGUAAACUUCUGUCCUUGGUGAAGAGAAGAAGACGGUAGCCAAGGAGGAAGCCCCGGCUAACUACGUGCCAGCAGCCGCCGUAA
rnacentral:rRNA from 1 species